GAUGAACGCUCGCUACAGGCUUAACACAUGCAAGUCGAGGGGAAACGACAUCGAAAGCUUGCUUUUGAUGGGCGUCGACCGGCGCACGGGUGAGUAACGCGUAUCCAACCUGCCCAUCACUUGGGAAUAACCUUGCGAAAGUAAGACUAAUACCCAAUGACAUCCCACGAAGACAUCUGAAUGGGAUUAAAGAUUUAUCGGUGAUGGAUGGGGAUGCGUCUGAUUAGCUUGUUGGCGGGGUAACGGCCCACCAAGGCAACGAUCAGUAGGGGUUCUGAGAGGAAGGUACCCCACAUUGGAGCUGAGACACGGUCCAAACUCCUACGGGAGGCAGCAGUGAGGAAUAUUGGUCAAUGGGGGAGGGCCUGAACCAGCCAAGUAGAGUGCAGGAGGACGGCCCUAUGGGUUGUAAACUGCUUUUAGAAGAGAAUAAAGUGGGUCUCGUGAGACUUUUUGCAUGUACCUGAUGAAUAAGGACCGGCUAAUUCCGUG
rnacentral:rRNA from 1 species